rnacentral:lncRNA from 1 species
GAGGAGAGACAGAGACAGAGAGAAAGGAGCAGCGGAUUCCUGCAAACUUCAGCAUUGUGUGACUAGGAAGAUGCUGACCUGGCUUGCAAUUUCUUGGAGGAAACAGGGGUUGGAAAGAUGGCACAGAGAUUACAAGAGCUGGCUGCUUUUCCA